GGGGCAUUAGCGCAGUUGGGAGCGGGCACCACACUGGCAGUGUGGGGGGCCGGGGUUCAAGUCCCCUAUGCUCCCCCA
rnacentral:tRNA from 1 species